rnacentral:rRNA from 1 species
ACGAACGCUGGCGGCGUGCUUAACACAUGCAAGUCGAGCGGUAAGGCCCUUUCGGGGGUACACGAGCGGCGAACGGGUGAGUAACACGUGGGUGACCUGCCCUCAGCUCUGGGAUAAGCCUGGGAAACCGGGUCUAAUACCGGAUAUGACUCCAUGACGCAUGUUGUGGGGUGGAAAGCCUUGUGCGGCUGAGGAUGGGCCCGCGGCCUAUCAGCUUGUUGGUGGGGUGAUGGCCUACCAAGGCGACGACGGGUAGCCGGCCUGAGAGGGCGACCGGCCACACUGGGACUGAGACACGGCCCAGACUCCUACGGGAGGCAGCAGUGGGGAAUCUUGCGCAAUGGGCGAAAGCCUGACGCAGCGACGCCGCGUGAGGGAUGAC